rnacentral:rRNA from 1 species
AAGCAGGGGAUCGCAAGACCUUGCGCUUUUGGAGCGGCCGAUGCCUGAUUAGCUAGUUGGUAGGGUAAUGGCCUACCAAGGCGACGAUCAGUAGUUGGUCUGAGAGGACGACCAGCCACACUGGGACUGAGACACGGCCCAGACUCCUACGGGAGGCAGCAGUGGGGAAUUUUGGACAAUGGGCGAAAGCCUGAUCCAGCAAUGCCGCGUGAGUGAAGAAGGCCUUCGGGUUGUAAAGCUCUUUCAGUCGAGAAGAAAAGGUUGUGACUAAUAAUCACAACUCAUGACGGUAUCGACAGAAGAAGCACCGGCUAACUACGUGCCAGCAGCCGCGGUAAUACGUAGGGUGCGAGCGUUAAUCGGAAUUACUGGGCGUAAAGGGUGCGCAGGCGGCUUUGUAAGUCAGAUGUGAAAUCCCCGGGCUUAACCUGGGAAUUGCGUUUGAAACUACAAGGCUAGAGU